CCACCUAGAGAUAGUUUGACAUCAUCUACCCCAUCUUCGUCUACUGUAUCUAUGCUAGUCAAAUCUUCUGAUGUUGUAUCUACACCAUCUCCACCUCUGACUGAAGUUAGACCAUCUCCAUCACAUCUUGAUGCACAUGGACCGUCCUCGAUACCUACAUCCACACCAUCCCCAUCCUUGAUUGAUGCACGCGGAUUGUCUCUGCUACCUACAUCCACAUCAUCCCCAUACCCG
rnacentral:lncRNA from 1 species